GCUGGACGCUUGCUCCAGGACUCUGGCCUGGGCCAGGCCUGCCGGGUGGUUUGCAAAGCAUCUUGCCCACAGCGAUCCAUCUAGCAAGGGGGACAGAAUUAUGAACAGAAGGUGCACAGGGCCUGUCUGUCUGGUUCGCGGCCAAAUCCGCAGGAGUCAGAGGGUGUUCGGCGCAUCGCUGGAACUCUGCAAUGCUGUGUGCCAGUCCUCAGCCAGCAGCUCAGCUCCUUUCAUAGAGUUACAUCCAAAGUCCUCUGUGAGGCCUGAAAUACACCCAGCGAAGGGCCUUUGGGACAUGGCCGCCCCGACGGGAGGGCAGCUACGCAGGCCAGAAAGCGGGAGAAAGAAGAGAAGCCUUGUUUAGUCUUUUCUUGGCAUGAACAACAGUACAGUCAUGGCCUACCUAAUUAAUUAACUGCGUUCUAGGGAGAUGAGCAAAAUUACUGUUAAUUAAUUUUAAAUUGAUGUAAAUGUGU